rnacentral:rRNA from 1 species
GACGAACGCUGGCGGCGUGCUUAACACAUGCAAGUCGAGCGGGAAACUUCGGUUUCCAGCGGCGGACGGGUGAGUAACACGUGGGCAACCUGCCUCACAAUGAGGGAUAGCCUUCCGAAAGGAAGAUUAAUACCUCAUAACACAAGAGAAACGCACGUUUCUCUUGCCAAAGAAUUUCGUUGUGAGAUGGGCCCGCGGCGCAUUAGCUUGUUGGUGAGGUAACGGCUCACCAAGGCUUCGAUGCGUAGCCGACCUGAGAGGGUGAUCGGCCACAUUGGAACUGAGACACGGUCCAGACUCCUACGGGAGGCAGCAGUGGGGAAUAUUGCACAAUGGAGGAAACUCUGAUGCAGCAACGCCGCGUGAGUGAUGAAGGUCUUCGGAUUGUAAAGCUCUGUCUUCUGGGACGAUAAUGACGAUACCAGAGGAGGAAGCCACGGCUAACUACGUGCCAGCAGCCGCAGUAA